rnacentral:rRNA from 1 species
CCUAACACAUGCAAGUCGAGCGCGAACGCUCCUUCGGGAGUUAUUAGAGCGGCGCACGGGUGAGUAACACGUGGGUAAUCUACCCUAAGGUCCGGAAUAACUCCUGGAAACAGAAGCUAAUACCGGAUGAGACCACAGAGUGCUUCUCUGUGGGAAAAGGCGGGGAUCUUUCGGGACCUGUCGCCAUAGGAUGAGCCCGCGUUCCAUCAGGUAGUUGGCGGGGUAAAGGCCCACCAAGCCUAAGACGGAUAGCUGGUCUGAGAGGAUGAUCAGCCACACUGGAACUGAGACACGGUCCAGACUCCUACGGGAGGCAGCAGUGGGGAAUAUUGGUCAAUGGGCGAAAGCCUGAACCAGCAAUGUCACGUGAGUGAAGAAUGCCUUCGGGUUGUAAAGCUCUGUCAGGAGGGAAGAAGAUUUAAGCUUGCUUAAAUUUGACGGUACCUUCAAAGGAAGCACCGGCUAACUCUGUGCCAGCAGCCGCGGUAAUACAGAGGGUGCAAGCGGUGUUCGGAAUUAUUGGGCGUAAAGCGCGCGUAGGCGGCUACAUAAGUCUGACGUGAAAGCCCGGGGCUCAACCCCGGAAGUGCAUCGGAAACUACAUAACUAGAGUCCCGGAGAGGAUGGUGGAAUUCCAGGUGUAGAGGUGAAAUUCGUAGAUAUCUGGAGGAACAUCAGUGGCGAAGGCGGCCAUCUGGACGGUGACUGACGCUGAGGUGCGAAAGCGUGGGUAGCGAACAGGAUUAGAUCCCCUGGUAGUCCACGCCGUAAACGAUGGAUACUAGGCGCAGCGGGUAUUGACCCCUGCAGUGCCGAAGCUAACGCAUUAAGUAUCCCGCCUGGGAAGUACGGCCGCAAGGUUAAAACUCAAAGGAAUUGAC